AAACUUCACACUGGGGGCAACCCCGAUGAGGGAAAUCCUAGUGCUAGGACAUUUGUUCUAGCUUUUCUCAAGCGUAGAUAACUUGAGGAAUAAGGGCUGGGUAAGACGGGUGCCAGCCGCCGCGGUAAUACCUGCAGCCCAAGUGGUGGUCGAUUUUAUUGAGUCUAAAACGUUCGUAGCCGGUUUGGUAAAUCUUUGGGUAAAUCGGGAGGCUCAACUUUCCGACUUCCGAAGAGACUGUCAAACUUGGGACCGGGAGAGGCUAGAGGUACUUCUGGGGUAGGGGUAAGAUCCUGUAAUCCUAGAAGGACCACCGGUGGCGAAGGCGUCUAGCUAGAACGGAUCCGACGGUGAGGGACGAAGCCCUGGGUCGCAAACGGGAUUAGAUACCCCGGUAGUCCAGGGUGUAAACGCUGCAGACUUGGUGUUGGGGACCCUUCGGGGGUGUUCAGUGCCGGAGAGAAGUUGUUAAGUCUGCUACUUGGGGAGUACGUCCGCAAGGAUGAAACUUAAAGGAAUU
rnacentral:rRNA from 1 species